rnacentral:rRNA from 1 species
AAACCAGCACCUCAAGUGGUCAGGAUGAUUAUUGGGCCUAAAGCAUCCGUAGCCGGCUCUGUAAGUUUUCGGUUAAAUCUGUACGCUUAACGUACAGGCCGCCGGGAAUACUGCAGAGCUAGGGAGUGGGAGAGGUAGACGGUACUCGGGAGGAAGUGGUAAAAUGCUUUGAUCUCUCGAUGACCACCUGUGGCGAAGGCGGUCUACCAGAACACGUCCGACGGUGAGGGAUGAAAGCUGGGGGAGCAAACCGGAUUAGAAACCCUAGUAGUCC